rnacentral:lncRNA from 1 species
AGAGAAGGGUGUCCCAGAUGUAGGCAAAGCGUCCUCCAUGUGUUCCUGGAGGACCGUCCCAAGUCCUUCUCCAUUCUCCCAACCUCUUGGGCCUGGAAGUCAGACAAGUACCGGUGAUUGCCGGUUUCUUGUCUGAUUUUUGCACUUCUCUGGCAAGCUGCCCCCUCUGAAGAGUUGACUAUUUGGGAGUUACUCACUGAUGGUUCAGCCACUUCCAGAACCUACCCCAAGAGCAAGACUUGAAACCAACUCGCACCCUCAAAGCUCCGGAAGCCAUUCAGUGUUUCCAUCUUGGCUGAGUGAGUUCUUCACUGAAACUCAAUUUGACUUUGACAGUCAUCUAAUGAGAACUCAAAAGUCAUUCUUGGUUCAGCCACAGUCAAAGAACUUGCAGAGCAUUCUCUGACGAGGUCCUCAAGGACAACUGAGAGAAGGGAUGUCCUCCACCUUUUCAAUCUGAUUUGCUCUUUGCCAUGCAGACCUGUGGAUGAAGAGCCAGAGUCCUCCAAGGUGAAGCUGGACUGAAUAUUUCUGUCCAUAAGACUAUUAGAAUCCCCCAAAGUGGGAUACCAGUGAGGACCUCACCAGCAGCUGCUGUCUCUCCAAUGCAGAGCUUCCUGCCUCCUGCCCAGCCCCUGCUGUCAGAGAUACUUGGUGCUUCCAGUUCUGGAGACUUCCUUGAGUUCUGUGACUCAAAACAACUUCCUUCCCCUGUGGGCAUCAACAAUGAGAGAUCUUCAGAUGCGAUCAGGCACUCCAGUCCUUCCAUCUCCCACAAUGUUGGAGACCUGUGUUCCCUGCUGUAGAAACCUCUGCCAUUCCCUUUAUCUCUGAAGACAGAUGGACUUGACUGUCAGCUUAGCUUGGUUUCAGGAGGAAAGGAAGAUAAACCCCUGUGUUUAAGCUGCCGUGUUAAAUGGGAGGCACCUGGUCUUUUUUCUUUUUCUUUUUUAAAGACUGGGUCUCGCUCUGUUAUCCAAGCUGCAGUGCAGUGAUGUGAUCAUAGCUCACCUCAGCCUUGAACUCUCAGGCUCAAGCGAUCCUCCAGCCUCAGCCUCCUGAAUUGCUGGGAUUAUAGCACCUGGCCAAUUUUAAAAUCUUUCUGUAGCGACAGGAUCUCACUAUGUUGCCCAGGCUGGUCUUGAACCCCUGGCCUCAAGGAAUUCUCCCACAACCUCCCAAAGUGCUAAGAUUACAGGCAAGAGCCAUGGUGCCCAGCCACCUCUGGUCUUCCCUCAGUUUGCUUUCAUUAAAGGACAAACACAUGCCUUGCAAAA